rnacentral:rRNA from 1 species
CAUAAAACAAGCUUGCUUGUUUGGUGGCGACCGGCGCACGGGUGCGUAACGCGUAUGCAACCUACCCUGUACUGAGGGAUAGCCCGGAGAAAUUCGGAUUAACCCCUCAUAGUAUAUAUCAUUCGCAUGUUUGAUAUAUUAAAGGUUACGGUACAGGAUGGGCAUGCGUCCCAUUAGCUAGAUGGUGAGGUAACGGCUCACCAUGGCGACGAUGGGUAGGGGGCCUGAGAGGGUGGUCCCCCACACUGGUACUGAGACACGGACCAGACUCC